rnacentral:rRNA from 1 species
AACGAACGCUGGCGGCAGGCCUAACACAUGCAAGUCGAGCGAGACCUUCGGGUCUAGCGGCGGACGGGUUAGUAACGCGUGGGAACGUGCCCUUCUCUGCGGAAUAGCCACUGGAAACGGUGAGUAAUACCGCAUACGCCCUUCGGGGAAAGAUUUAUCGGAGAAGGAUCGGCCCGCGUUAGAUUAGAUAGUUGGUGGGGUAACGGCCUACCAAGUCUACGAUCUAUAGCUGGUUUUAGAGGAUGAUUAGCAACACUGGGACUGAGACACGGCCCAGACUCCUACGGGAGGCAGCAGUGGGGAAUCUUAGACAAUGGGCGCAAGCCUGAUCCAGCCAUGCCGCGUGAGUGAUGAAGGCCUUAGGGUCGUAAAGCUCUUUCGCCAGAGAUGAUAAUGACAGUAUCUGGUAAAGAAGUCCCGGCUAACUCCGUG